AACAAGAAUAAUGUGCCAGAGAUACUGUUUUUAUUCUGCUGCAUUUUAACUUUUAAUGGCAAAUUAAGAUGUUUGCUAAAUUAUUUAUUGCUGGAAUAAUUCAUUUAUGAGGCUAUUUAUUUCUGAGUCUAUCUUUGAUGAUAACAGGAUUGGUGCUCUGUACAAAAAUGCCCCAGGCAAUUUUUUAAUGGAAGCUGAUCUCUCUGAAGCUGUUUCCAUGUCUCCUUAUCGUCAUGUCAUUACAGUUUUUUUCUCAAGCAUAACGGACUCGGACAAGUUCACACACACUUCAGUCUAACUGCCUCCAUUUUGGUACCGGAGCUCUGUUAGACUCAGAGAGGCUUUCAGAGUCACUGCCUGAAGCUGCUGUCAAACACGAGAUUUUGCACAAAGAUGACACUAACAAACUCCAGUUCUGGUUCCACAGAAGAGUCGAUUGAACUGUGUAAAAGGUUUGAUGAUAACAAAGUGAGAGCAAAUCUGUCUUACAUUUACUACUUCAUGUUUGUCUUCAGUUUUAUCACCAACCUGCUGGUUCUGGUUAUCAUCCACCGGUUUGAGAAGCUGUACACUGUGAUCAACAUCUUGCUGCUGAACCUGGUGGCGUCCUCCCUGAUCUUAAUGAGCAGCCUUCCCUUCCAGGCCGUCUACAUGCAGAAAUCUAAAUGGAUUUUUGGCUCAGCUAUGUGCAAGAUCGUCUUCAGCAUCUACUACCUGGGUUUUUACAGUUCUGUUUUCUUUUUAACUCUGCUAACAUUUGACCGUUACCUUGUUUUUGUACAUUUUAUGCCUGUAGUACAUGUAAGGAGUCGACGCAAUGCUAUCAUAUCUUGUGCAGUGGUGUGGGUGAUCAGUGGUUUGGCUUGCAUUAGGCCCAUGAUCCUCCAUGGUGCCUAUGACCAUAAAAACACUACGCACUGUGAGGAGUUUGCUCAUAUUGAUGGUGUGAAUGUAGAGAAGCUAAAAAAAUAUGGAUUUUAUAUUCAGCUUUGUGUCUUCUUGAUCCUCCCUCUGGCUGUUAUCGUAUGUUGUUACAUUAGGAUUGUUGUCACCAUUAAAAAAUCCCAAUCGGCUUCUAAAUUCCAUGCAGUCAGGGUGAUAUUUAUGAUCGUAGGGUUGUUCUUCAUCUGCUGGAUCCCUUUUAACAUUGUAGAACUGCUGCAUUAUGAAUGUGAGUUCAAUUGGAGCUGUGCAGCUAAAAAGAAACUCGGUUACGUUCUUGAUGUCACCCGCAAAAUGGCCUGCAUUUACUUCUGCAUCAGUCCAAUGUUUUAUACAUUUGUAGGAAAAAAAUUUCAGAACCAUUUCAAACAGCUGCUGGUGAAAUGUUUCCCAAGAUUACAAGAUCAUAUUUCUUUCAAUGCAAACACCACAAUAAGAACUUAGUCUUAAGAAGUGAGUUUAUCUUUGUGGGUUUGUCAUCAUUCACCCUGAGUCAAACCAACUUCAGUACCUUGCAACCACAUUCAUGCUUUUUAAACUUCAGGCCAUCUUUUCAUGGUACAACAACAACCCUCACUUUGACCUCAUGUUUUGUCAUCAUGCUGAAAAAUUAUUUGAGGAUAUCAGUACUACUUAAGCUCAUGAGUGUGAGUGCUUAUAUCAUACAGUUAAAGCUACAGAUGGUGCCUUUUGAAUCAUUUCAUCCGGCUGUUUCAGUAGAUCUUGAGUUAGUAUUUCUAAUUUCUAAUUAUGCUGAAAGGACUCUGAGAAUUAAUCAGAUUAAGAACUAAUCAGAGCAGCAGGGAAAGACACCAAUGAUACCUCUGGAUGAGCUGCAGAAAUCCAUGAUUUAUUUACAUGACUUAGAACAAAGUGUGUAAAAUAGAUCAUAAUCUAUACAAUACACCGACAUUUGAAAUUUACAAAUACUCUCCUGCUAAUUUCCAGAGUAGAAUUGACACAAAAUGUAGACCCAAUGUAAAAAAGAGUCAAAAUGCUUCUCUGUAAAUAUGUUAGCCAAAUCUAUCACUAUAUUUUAUGCUGUUCUUUAAAAAUGCUUUGAAGUAGUACAAUCUAAUAACUCCAAAAAUAUAAACAAAAACCACCAAAGCAACCCUAAACAGUCUCUCACUAAAGAUGUGGUGGAGAGGACCCAACACACUAGCUAAGGGGUGCCCAAGUCCAGUUCUUGAGAUCCACCAUCCUACAACUCUCAGAUACAUCCCAUCUCCAACACAACUGAAUCAAAUCAGUGGCCCAUUACCAGGCCUCUAUAGAGCUGAAUGGCUGCUGAAGAGGGAGUUCAGCCAUUUGAUUCAAGUGUGUUGGACCAGGGAUGUAUUUCAAAGUUUGCUUGAUCUUGAACAUGGGGUUGGGGCCCUCUGCACUGGAAGAAAAGAAAAGCAAAAGCAAAGCUGAGUAAUUAUUGGGAUGAGUUUACAGGCAGAGGAAACAUGACUGAGCUGAAUGGGUGUUACUGAGAAUGUCUGAUUAAAUGCAGAAAAAUUUAAAAAGCAACAGUCAUGGGGCCCUCUGUUGUCACGUUCCCCAAGUUACACACAGGAACAUCUUUGGAUUUGUCUUUGGAUAGGAAGCUUACAGUCUGCUGUAACUCCAGUUCAAACCUGAUCAAGACACCAACUCCAGGCUAAUUUCCAAUAACCAAGUUAACAUGCUUACUUUGUAACCUUAACAGUACAGUAAUAACUUCAUUCAUUAAUAUAAUCUUAUGAAUCUAGGUGUUUUUCUUUUCAUGUGUGAUUUAGAGUGUUUUUUAAUGUAACGUCAUAAUAAUCACAAAGAAAUCUAUUAGAAAUCAGCAACAAAAAAUGCUUAAGGAACAACAAACUGGUAUAUUAUGGUACUUGUGCUCUGUAUAUGCGCACACUUUAUGUAAUAUCAGUGAUACAAAUGUCUGUCGCAUCUGUAUUAUAAUAAAAUUCACAGCAAAAUCCUUUAUAAGCAGACAACUAUAAUCUAUACCCUUGUAUUAUUUAACAGACUUGAAAUUAUUAGCAAAAAAUAGAUACCACUAGAAUACUUGUCCAAUGAUCAGGAUGAUUCUGUUUUUCUGUUUUUGUGUGUGCUGAACCAAUAAUAUCAUCCCGUUGUAUUGUGUAGUUUGUUUAUUUUUUUAUUUGGUAUGCAGUGUAUAGUAAGUGAAGAUGUAAUUAAAUCAGAAACUGGCCUCACAUUAUGCAAAGCCAUUAAUAUAUAAAGAUAUAAGUUAUGUUUGUUUAUUUUUUUUAUUCUGUACAUUAAAUGGAUGUCUUCAAAAC